rnacentral:ribozyme from 16 species
AGGAAUUCCUAGCCUACCUCCCAUGUUGGUAGUGUUUUCGCGUGGUAAUAAUAACUCUAGAGAGUCUGUAUGAGGGACGGA